UUUCAGGGUUUUUUAUUAUGUUA
rnacentral:snRNA from 1 species